GCCAAGGUGGCAGAAUCUGGUAUUGCGGCGGUCUCGAAAACCGCUGCCCGCAAGGGCUUCUCGGUUCAAAUCCGGGCCUUGGCG
rnacentral:tRNA from 1 species